rnacentral:rRNA from 1 species
UACGUAGGGGGCAAGCGUUGUCCGGAAUUAUUGGGCGUAAAGCGCGCGCAGGCGGUUUCUUAAGUCUGAUGUGAAAGCCCACGGCUCAACCGUGGAGGGUCAUUGGAAACUGGGGAACUUGAGUGCAGAAGAGGAAAGUGGAAUUCCAAGUGUAGCGGUGAAAUGCGUAGAGAUUUGGAGGAACACCAGUGGCGAAGGCGACUUUCUGGUCUGUAACUGACACUGAGGCGCGAAAGCGUGGGGAGCGAACAGG